rnacentral:sRNA from 1 species
GGGAAAAAAAAAAAAAAGAAAUUUAAUGGUGGGUCCCCAAGGAUGGGGAUACCAUUGACCAGAGAAGGGGUAAAGAAGAAAAAAUGAUGGACAAAAUAUGUUUAAAUGUUGGCACUAUUUGGACUGACACUUUUAACCAUUAUUUACUCUUUGUUAACUGUUUGGAGUUAGUAAAACAAAUACAUUCUCUUUUGUUAAUUCAUACAUAGAUAUUCUGCCUCCAUGGUGGCCUCUCUCCAUCCAUAGACACACUGGAUCAUAUAAGAGCCCUGGAUCGUUUACAGGAAGUUCCACAUGAGGGCCCAAUGUGUGAUCUGUUAUGGUCAGAUCCAGAUGAUCGUGGUGGAUGGGGUAUUUCACCACGUGGUGCUGGCUACACAUUUGGACAAGACAUUUCUGAAACCUUUAACCAUGCCAAUGGUCUCACACUGGUUUCUCGUGCCCACCAGCUUGUAAUGGAGGUAUGUACUUUCCUGACAGAAUGAUCUUUAUUUCAGAUUAGUAUAUACUUCUGUAAUAAGGCAUUAUGACUUAACUAAGAAACAUUCCUCACCAUUUAUUACCUAGGUGAAAAGAGGAAAAACUUGCUGGUUUUAGCAAGUAGGGAAAGCACUAGUAGACCAGAGCAGAAUUAUAACUCAUUUUUGAAAUUGAGACUUAGAAAAAAGUUACAAAAAUAGUACCCCAAAAUUCCCUGUAUGCUUCAUUCAGAUUCCUGACUGUAAAUAUUUUACUAUAUUUGCUUUAUCAUUUUGUGUCUCUCUUCCUCUUCACCCCUCACACUUUCUUCUGAACCAUUUGAAUAUCUGUUGCAGACAGAUACUCCUUUACUACCAACUUUCUAUGUGUAUUUUGUAAAAUUAAGGACACACUGUCACAUAACCACCGUAUAGUUAUCACAUUUGGGAAAUCUGUGUUCAUAUAGUACUGUUAUUUAAUAAGAACACUUUAUUCAAAUUUUGCUAAUUGUCUCACUAAUGUCUUUUAUAGCAAAAUUUAAUUUUUUGUGCAUACUGUUAUGUGCAUAGUCGAAUCCAAAGAUUAGGUUGUAUUCAUUCUACUUUGAUGUGGAAAUCCUCCGAUUUUCAUUGUUUUCCACAUUCUUGACAUUUUGGAAGAGUAGGAGCAUUUUAUCUUACAGAAAUAUCCCUCAGUUGGGGUUUGACUGAUGUUUUCCUUGCAGUUAGGGAUUCAAUGUAUGCAUUUUUGGCAGUCAUGCCAUAGAAAGAUGGUGUGUCCUCCUCCGUGCAUUGUAUCAAGUGG